AGUGAACGCUGGCGGCGUGCCUAAUACAUGCAAGUCGAACGGAGAUUAAGUAGCUUGCUAUUUAAUCUUAGUGGCGCACGGGUGAGUAAUAUAUAGCUAACUUGCCCAUUACUAAGGGACAACAGUUGGAAACGACUGCUAAUACCUUAUACUCCGUAUCUAUAUAAGUAGAUACGGGAAAGUUUUUCGGUAAUGGAUAGGGCUAUAUCGUAUCAGCUAGUUGGUAAGGUAAUGGCUUACCAAGGCUAUGACGCGUAACUGGUCUGAGAGGAUGAUCAGUCACACUGGAACUGAGACACGGUCCAGACUCCUACGGGAGGCAGCAGUAGGGAAUAUUGCUCAAUGGGGGAAACCCGGAAGCAGCAACGCCGCGUGGAGGAUGACACUUUUCGGAGCGUAAACUCCUUUUCUUGGGAAAGAAUUAUGACGGUACCCAAGGAAUAAGCACCGGCUAACUCCGUG
rnacentral:rRNA from 1 species